AUGCACGCUAGCUACCGGCUUAACCCGUGCAAGUCGCGGGGCAGCAUGGGGGUUGCUUGCACUCCCCGAUGGCGACCGGCGCACGGGUGAGUAACGCGUAUCCAACCUGCCCUUCACCACGGGAUAACCCGGCGAAAGUCGGACUAAUACCGUAUGUUGUCCAUUGACGGCAUCCGAUUUGGACGAAAGGCUUGGCGGUGAGGGAUGGGGAUGCGUCCGAUUAGCCAGACGGCGGGGUAACGGCCCACCGUGGCUACGAUCGGUAGGGGUUCUGAGAGGAAGGUCCCCCACACUGGAACUGAGACACGGUCCAGACUCCUACGGGAGGCAGCAGUGAGGAAUAGUGGUCAAUGGGCGUAAGCCUGAACCAGCCAAGUAGCGUGCAGGAUGACGGCCCUAUGGGUUGUAAACUGCUUUUAUGCGGGGAUAAAGUGGCCCACGGGUGGGCUUUUGCAGGUACCGCAUGAAUAAGGACCGGCUAAUUCCGUG
rnacentral:rRNA from 1 species